CCGCCGGGGGAGGGCGAAGCACAGACGUGCCCCCCUUCCCCGUUUGUCGGUCCCCUGCGAGGCAGUCUCGGAAGGGGAGCGGUGUUGGUGGCAGCGGCCCGCCAGGGCGAAAGCCGUGGGGGGAGGGGGGUCCCGCAUCCUUGACAUUGGGUACCCGAGAAAGCCCUGGACUCUGAAGGUUAUUUACAUUCCAGCUGUGGCUGGGACUUCUGGUCCUUGCUAAAUGCAUUAUUUUAAAAAUAACCGGAUUUUAUGGGCGAUUGCACUCUUCAAAAUAAGACCACAGCGCUGGUGAAUGAUAGAUCCUUUUGUCUCAUUUCGUCUGAGUCAUGCACGCUGUGUACAGCUCAGCCGUGGUGCUUCAGGUAUUUGAAAAACAUAAGAGACACAAGGGGCUGUGGCUUCCAGAAGCACGGCAGGCUCACCACUUCUUGUCCUCAAGCCUCCUCAGAGGCCACCAAAAUUACACAGUAUAGAAGAGCAGUCAAAUUAAUGGACUGAAAUAGGCUGAGGACCACUUGCCGAAGUUUCCCUUGUCAUCAGUGUUUUGGAACCACUGACAGAGGGAAUCAAGGUCCAACAUUUUCACGGGGCUUUAAAGAACCCAUUUCAUUUUAUUUGGGACUUUGAAAAUAACUGUCGAACAGUGACCCAAGUUCUACUUCCUCCCAGAA